rnacentral:rRNA from 1 species
CACAUGCAAGUCGAACGAGACCGAUUUAGAAGCUUGCUUUUAUGAGUCGAGUGGCAAACGGGUGAGUAACGCGUAGACAACCUGCCACAAAGAUGGGGACAACAGUCCGAAAGGACUGCUAAAUACCGAAUGUUGUAUCUCACCGCAUUGGAAGAGAUAUUAAAGAUGGCCUCUACUUGUAAGCUAUCGCUUUGCGAUGGGUCUGCGUCUGAUUAGCUAGUUGGUGGGGCAACGGCCUACCAAGGCGACGAUCAGUAGCCGGUCUGAGAGGAUGAACGGCCACAUUGGAACUGAGACACGGUCCAGACUCCUACGGGAGGCAGCAGUGGGGAAUCUUCCGCAAUGGGCGAAAGCCUGACGGAGCAACGCCGCGUGAGUGAAGAAGGUCUUCGGAUCGUAAAGCUCUGUUGUCGGGGACGAAUGUUGAGACCUAGAACAUAGGUUUCAAAUGACGGUACCUGACGAGGAAGCCACGGCUAACUACGUG